CUCUAGGUAUAAAUAGUAUACAGUGAAACUGCGAAUGGCUCAUUAAAACAGUUAUAGUUUAUUUGAUAAUUGACAAUUACAUGGAUAACCGUGGUAAUUCUAGAGCUAAUACAUGCUUAAACGCCCGACUUUAUGGAAGGGUGGUAUUUAUUAGACUGAAGCCAAUAUUCCUUGUGUCUAUUGCGGUGAUUCAUAAUAACUGAUCGAAUCUCUUUUUGAGAUAAAUCAUUCAAGUUUCUGCCCUAUCAGCUUUCGAUGGUAGUGUAUUGGACUACCAUGGCAGUAACGGGUAACGAAGAAUUAGGGUUCGAUUUCGGAGAGGGAGCAUGAGAAACGGCUACCACAUCUAAGGAAGGCAGCAGGCGCGUAAAUUACCCAAUCCUGACUCAGGGAGGUAGUGACAAGAAAUAGCAAACCGGGAACCUCAAGGUUUCACGGUAUUGCAAUGAGAACAAUUUAAAACCCUUAGCGAGAAUCAAGUGGAGGACAAGUCUGGUGCCAGCACCCGCGGUAAUUCCAGCUCCACUAGCGUAUAUUAAAGUUGUUGCAGUUAAAAAGCUCGUAGUUGAACCUCUGUCUGGGGCUAGUUUUGGCUUUGGUCAGGCUAGUUCUAGGCAUCCGCCUACAAGACUUAGAGGGCAUUCAGUUGUUCACUAGGAGGAGUAGGCAUUUUACUUUGAAAAAAAUUAGAGUGUUUAAGGCAGGCAAUCGCCCGCAUAUAUUAGCAUGGAAUAAUAGAAUAGGAUACUUUUCCAUUUCGUUGGUUAUUGGAAUCGUGUAAUGAUUAAUAGGGACAGUUGUGGGCAUUUGUAUUUAAUUGUCAGAGGUGAAAUUCUUGGAUUUAUUAAAGACAAACUAACGCGAAAGCAUUUGCCAAGGAUGUUUUCAUUAAUCAAGAACGAAAGUUAGGGGAUCAAAGACGAUCAGAUACCGUCCUAGUCUUAACUAUAAACUAUUCCGACUCAAUGUUUGACUGGCUUAUAUAACCAGUUGGGCGUUGUAUGAGAAAUCAAAGUCUUUAGGUUCUGGGGGGAGUAUGGUUGCAAAGCUGAAACUUAAAGGAAUUGACGGAAGAGCACAACCAGGAGUGGAUUCUGCGGCUUAAUUUGACUCAACACGGGGAAACUUACCAGGUUAGAACAAUAGUGGGAUUGACAGUUUGAGAGCGCUUUCUUGAUUGGUUGGGUGGUGGUGCAUGGCCGUUCUUAGUUGGUGGAGUGAUUUGUCUGCUUAAUUGCGUUAACGAACGAGACCUUAACCUGCUUACUAGACUGGCGAUCAUCAAUCGUUAGCUCUUCUUAGAGGGACUUUGGUUGUUUUAACUCCAAGGAAGUUUGAGGCAAUAACAGGUCUGUGAUGCCCUUAGAUAUCCUGGGCCGCACGCGUCA
rnacentral:rRNA from 1 species